AAGAAAAGUCACAGAGAAAGGCCAAGACCCUGGAGCUCUGCAGCCAGGGCUGGUGCUGCUGGUUCUACCUCACACUGGCUUCUGGGACUGAACAUCUACUGGAUCCUCCUGCUGUCCAGCACACAAGACGGCCACUGUGGAGCUGGACACUCUCACCUCUCCCUUGAGCCUGCCUGUCUCGGAGAAAGUGUGCUGCCUUCAGUACCUGAACUGCACCCAAGCCUUUAAUGAACACCUGUUAAGAGAUUGCAUAGAUGAGCUGCUAAGUGUUCGUGCACGUGGGCGCUGUGCAAGUUGAUUUCACUGUGUUAGGGAUUUUCAGUCCCCCUCGUUACCCAAGCAUGCAUGCCAAGCCUGAAUGUUGCAUAUCAAACUCCACUCACUGUGACUAUUCAAAUAUCUCAUUCAAG